AGUGAACGCUGGCGGUAGGCCUAACACAUGCAAGUCGAACGGCAGCACAGGAGAGCUUGCUCUCUAGGUGGCGAGUGGCGGACGGGUGAGGAAUACAUCGGAAUCUGCCCAGUCGUGGGGGAUAACGUAGGGAAACUUACGCUAAUACCGCAUACGACCUUCGGGUGAAAGAGGGGGAUCGCAAGACCUCUCGCGAUUGGAUGAGCCGAUGUCGGAUUAGCUAGUUAGCGGGGUAAUGGCCCACCAAGGCGACGAUCCGUAGCUGGUCUGAGAGGAUGAUCAGCCACACUGGAACUGAGACACGGUCCAGACUCCUACGGGAGGCAGCAGUGGGGAAUAUUGGACAAUGGGCGCAAGCCUGAUCCAGCCAUACCACGUGGGUGAAGAAGGCCUUCGGGUUGUAAAGCCCUUUUGUUGGGAAAGAAAUCUUUCAGGCUAAUACCCUGGGAGGAUGACGGUACCCAAAGAAUAAGCACCGGCUAACUUCGUG
rnacentral:rRNA from 1 species